rnacentral:rRNA from 1 species
UCUGAGUUACUUUCGGGUGCUUGGAUGUCCUCUUCGGCCGCCAUUCAACGGUCAGCUCAGAACUGGCACGGACUAGGGGAAUCCGACUGUCUAAUUAAAACAAAGCAUUGCGAUGGUCCCUGCGGAUGCUCACGCAAUGUGAUUUCU